rnacentral:rRNA from 1 species
UACAGAGGUCUCAAGCGUUGUUCGGAUUCAUUGGGCGUAAAGGGUGCGUAGGCGGCGCGGUAAGUCGGGUGUGAAAUCUCGGAGCUUAACUCCGAAACUGCAUUCGAUACUGCCGUGCUUGAGGACUGGAGAGGAGACUGGAAUUUACGGUGUAGCAGUGAAAUGCGUAGAUAUCGUAAGGAAGACCAGUGGCGAAGGCGAAUCUCUGGACAGUUACUGACACUGAGGCUCGAAGGCCAGGGGAGCAAACGGG